GCAACGGUUUGUGCGAUGGACGCCGCGGUCCAACAGGCGCUGCUCAACUACUACUGCCAGGAAUGCUACUUCCACCACGUCCGGGCUGCGGCGGAGGAGGCUCUGGGCCGGCUGGGCAGCGACCCGGUGUUCAGCUUCUACCGGGCGUACGGCACGCUGCGCACAGGUGAUGUCCAAGAGGGUAUUAGACAACUCGAAUCCAUUAAGAACAAACAGGAGGUGUCGCUUUGUGCAAUGAUGGCGCUGAUCUAUGCUCACAAAAAGAGCCCUAAUCCAGAUCGGGAUGCUAUUCUAGAGCUGGAUACAAAACUGAAGGAGCAACGUAGGACAGCAGGGAAGCAGGCUCUCUACUUUGCUGGCUUACUUUUGUGGCAUCUUGGUCGUGAAGACAAAGCCCGUGAAUACGUUGAUAGGGUGAUCAAAGUUUCUAAUGGUGAUAAAGAGGGAUUGGUUCUGAAAGCAUGGCUUGAUCUCACUUGUGGGAAAGAAACUCACCUUAGAAAGGCUGUGAAGUACCUUGAUGAAGCAUUGCAGGAAGGGAAUGAUGUUUUUGCUCUCCUUGGUAAAGCACAAUAUUUUGAGAUCCGUCAGAAUUAUUCAGGAGCUCUGGAAAUGGUGAACCAGAUAAUUGCAAACUUCCCAAACUUUAUUCCUGCUUUCAUAAAGAAAAUGAAGCUACAACUGGCCUUGCAGGACUGGGAACAGGCAGUUGAAACAGCACAUAGACUAUUGCAGAAAGAUGCUCUCAAUAUAGAGGCCACAAGAAUGGAGGCCCUGCAUUUUUUGUGCAGGGAAGGAAAUGUGCGUGAGGCUUCGGCAAGACUCAGUGACCUACUUAAAGCAUUGGACAGGUCGGAGCCACGUAAUUCACAGCUCUUCUAUAAAAUGGCUUUAGCUUUCAGUAGAACAUGUGGCCGGAACCAACUCAUCCUUCAACAUACACAAACGUUAGUUCAAAGAGCAUUUAAUUUGGAUUCUGACAAUGCAGAAUUUGCUACAGAGCUUGGCUACCAAAUGAUUUUACAAGGGAAAGUGAAAGAAGCUUUAAAAUGGUAUAAGACUGCCAUGGAACUUGAUGGAACAAGUGUUUCUGCCUUAACUGGAAUUAUUCGUUGUCAGAUAAUACAAGAGCAGUUAGAAGAUGCAGAACAGCAGUUGGAGUUUCUUAAUGAAAUCCAAGAGUCCAUUGGAAAAUCAGCGGAAUUAUCUUUCUUGCGUGCAGUCCUUGCAAUGAAAAAGCAUAAGAGACAAGAAGUAGUGUCUGCCUUGCUGAAUGAUGUUCUGGAUAUCCACUUCUCAACUAUGCACCGUUUUCCUCUUGGUGUGGAGUAUUUUGAAAAACUGAAUCCUGAUUUCUUGCUAGAAAUUAUUAAGGAAUAUCUUCAUUUUUGCCCAGUACAGCUUGCAAGUCCUGGGCAGUCUCCUUCACCACUUCUCAAGCAGUAUGCUUCUGUUCUUGAAACUGUGGUAAAAACUGUGCCAGGUCUUCAACAAGCUGUUUUUUUAAAUGCAAAGGUGAAAUAUUUAUCAGGGGAUAUUGAAGCAGCCCAUACUAAUCUUCGUUACUGUCUGGAAAGGGGUCCUUCUUAUGCAGAUGCACACUUACUUAUGGCUCAGGUCUAUUUGGCUCAGAACAAUACUAAACUGUGUUCUCAAUCCCUGGAACUCUGCCUGAGCUACAGUUUUGAGGUGAGAGAACAUCCAGUUUAUCACUUAAUUAAAGCUCAAACCCAGAAGAAGAUGGGUGAAUUAUCAGAAGCUAUUAAGACCUUACAGAUGGCAAGAAAUUUGCCUGGAAUGAGAAAACAUACAGCUUCCUCAAAGACAAAAGGAAAAAGAAUUGAAAUUGAUACAAGUGAUCGUGUGGCUGUCUUUCUAGAAUUAGUAGACGCUCAUUGUUUGAAUGGAGAACCGCAUGAGGCUGCUGUAGUACUACAAGAUGCCAUUGAUGAAUUUUCUGGAACUCCUGAGGAACUGAGGGUCAUGAUUGCAAAUGCAGAUCUGGCAAUUGCUCAAGGAGAUGUUGAACAAGCCUUGACUGUGCUCCGAAAUAUUACACCUGAACAGCCUUACUUUGUAGAAGCUAAGCUGAAGAUGGCAGACAUCUAUCUUCAGUGCAGGAGAGAUAAGCAGUUGUAUGCUGCUUGCUACAGAGACCUAGCAGAAAAACUGCCAAGUGCUCAUACGUUUCUUCUUCUUGGUGAUGCAUAUUUGAAUAUUCAAGAGCCUGAUGAAGCCAUAGAAGUCUACGAGCAGGCUUUGAAGAAAAAUCCAAAAAAUCCAGCUUUAGCAACUAAAAUUGGAAAAGCCUUAAUCAAAACACAUAACUAUUCAAAGGCAAUCAGUUACUAUGAGGCUGCCUUGAAAAGUGGUCAGCAGAAUUUCCUUUGCUAUGACUUGGCUGAACUUUUAAUGAAACUAAAGCAGUAUGAAAAGGCAGUAGUAGUACUUCAGCAAGCUCUAGAUCACGAGUAUGUUAAUGAAUUGUCUUCUCUGAUGGAAGAUGGACGGUACCACGUUCUAUUAGCGAAGAUUUACAGCAAAAUGGAGAAGAUUGAUGAAGCUAUCACUUCAUUACAGCAGGCUCGAGAAUUACAGGCCAGAGUACUUAAACGGGCUCAGACAGAACAGCCAGAUGCAGUUCCUGCACAGAAGCAGUUAGCAGCUGAAAUUUGUGCUGAGAUUGCAAAGCAUUGUACAGUUCAGCGAAACUAUGAAAAAGCAAUUAAAUUUUACAAAGAGGCACUUGUUCACUGUGAAACUGAUAAAAAGGCAAUGUUGGAACUAGCACGUUUGUACCUUGCACAAGAUGAUAGUGAUGCCUGUCAGCAUCAGUGUUCCUUGUUACUGAGGAGUGAGCAAGAUAACGAAGCAGCAACGAUGAUGAUGGCUGACCUCAUGUUCAGGAAGCAAGACUAUGAACAAGCAAUCUUUCAUUUCCAGCAGCUCCUCGAACGCAAGCCAGAUAACUAUGCCACUCUCUCACGAUUAAUUGAUCUGUUAAGAAGAGCUGGAAAACUAGAAGAUGUCCCAAGAUUUCUUUUAAUGGCUGAAAAACAUUCUUCCAGAGCAAAGCUUGAACCAGGCUUUCACUACUGCAAAGGACUAUAUCUCUGGUAUACAGGUGAACCAAAUGACGCACUCCGCCAUUUUAAUAAAGCUCGAAAGGACAAUGACUGGGGACAGAAUGCAGUCUACAACAUGAUAGAAAUUUGUUUGAACCCAGAUAAUGAAACUAUAGGUGGUGAAGUCUUCGAAAAUCUGGAUGCUGACAUAGGUAACUCAACAGAGAAGCAGGAGUCUGUGCAGUUGGCUGUAAGAACAGCAGAGAAUCUUCUGAAGGAACUCAAGCCUCAGACCAUUCAGGGUCACGUUCAGCUGCGAAUCAUGGAAAAUUAUUGUCUCAUGGCAACCAAACAAAAAUCAAAUGUCGAACGAGCUCUAAACACUUUCACUGAAAUCGUAGUGGCUGAGAAAGAUCAUAUACCUGCACUUCUGGGAAUGGCUACAGCCUACAUGAUCUUGAAACAGACUCCACGAGCUAGAAAUCAGUUAAAACGGAUUUCAAAAAUGAACUGGAAUCCCAUUGAUGCAGAGGAGUUUGAAAAGAGUUGGCUUCUGCUUGCAGACAUAUAUAUUCAGUCUUCAAAAUAUGAUACGGCAAGUGAAUUAUUAAAACGAUGCCUUCGGCAUAACAAGUCCUGCUGCAAGGCUUAUGAAUACAUGGGAUACAUAAUGGAAAAGGAACAAGCGUAUAAGGAUGCAGCAAUAAAUUAUGAGAUGGCCUGGAGAUACGGAAACCAAUCAAAUCCAACAAUAGGAUACAAGCUGGCUUUCAAUUAUCUGAAAGGAAAGAGAUACGUUGAUGCAAUUGCUGUUUGUCAUAAGGUCCUUGAAGCACAUCCAAACUAUCCAAAGAUCAGAAAGGAAAUACUUGACAAGGCCCGUGCAUCAUUAAGAACAUAACUUGUUGUUUUUUUUAAAACUCAUUGACUUAUUAGUAUAAGGUGCCUUCAGAAACUACUACAGUGACAGAGACCAUAUCAGCACAAAUGUAUUGUGAAUAUGAUUAACUUGCAUUGAAUUAGAAGUCUGGAUCCUUUGCAAGAAAAGUCUGCAGCCCUGGGAGAAAUUGUAGCUAUUUAGCAGGAAAUACUGCUUACAUGUAUGGUACCUAAAACAUCAUCCAGAAAUAAAAAAUACCAAAGAUAAAGCCCACAGGCAUCUCUGUAGAAUACAGCCCAAGUGCAUUUCAGAUAAACACACAACUUGGAUUCUAGUGACUGACAUACUGGAGGCUCAUUUUCAAUCUACUUUUCAAAGUAACGUGUGCAUUCCACAAUGUAUAUAAUAGAUAUGUAUCCUGAAUGCAAUGAUGCUACCUACUGGAGAUUUCUAGAUCCUGCAUUCAAGGAUGUUCUGAGCUUUUGGUCAGCCAAGCUGAAAUUAAUGGAAACUAACAGGUAACAGGUGUAUAAUACUUCUAGAAGUUUGGUAUGAGUGAUGGAGUUGACAAAAGACCUGAGUAAGUGGCUUCUCCUUCCCCGAGUAACCUUGAAGCUUAUGCUGUAGACAUAUCCUUUUUGUACUGAUCACAAUACAGGAAGAAAAAGACUUGGGUGACUGGGGGAAGCUGAUAAUGUAUGGGAGUAGAUUGAGGGACUUGGAAGGAUUUGAAGAAUGCUGAGGCUGGGAGGAGUUACAAGGAAUCCAAUUAUGAAUCCUUGAACUGCUGGAUUAUUAUUUUCCCCCCACUGGUAAAAUAUUAAGUACCUAGGGCUUUUCAAGGCAGUUUCUAAUAAGAGAGCAUUGAGAUCGAUGUCUUUCUGCUUGCUCCCUCGCACUGGAAUAACUUAGCUCAAGUUUAGAAUAAAAAUGAAUGCUUUUAUGCUGAUACACCCAAGACAUGUUCAAAAUAGGUAAAGUUAAUCUGUAUCUACACCUUUCUUUUGAGCAUCAGAUACGUGUUGCCAGUUCAUAAGAUACGAUACAGAAAUUAAUUGAUAGAAAUUGGUCUCAGACUUGAAGCUUUUCCUUGCUAAUUUAUGGUGGAGAUUUUUGUUCAUUUUAGCAUGAAAUAAAAGAUUUCUGGAAUCCUCUUAGGCUUCCUGAAUACAUUUAGCUACUAA